AGGUUAGAGGGUGUGCCAGAGAACCGGACAGCUUCUGGGACGGGCAGAAGCACAGAGCCACUGAGGCAGCACCCUUGGCGGGCCACAGACAGCCGGCCACCGUCUGGACCAGAGGACAGGUGUCCGCCUGGCUCGGGAGGCAGCCUCAGCCUCAGGAGCAGCGGUCGCCAUCUUGGUUCCAGGACUCCCUGGAACUUAGGAAUUUAGUCUGCACAGUAGGCAUCUUGAAGGACAUUUGAGAUAGAAAUGGAGAUGAUUGAGCAGCCC
rnacentral:lncRNA from 1 species